AUGGAGAAUUAAUCUUGAAACGCGUUUAACCACCAUUUUGGAGUCAACGGCCGGUAGUCCACGUGCUACUCGUAAAGUCUAGCUAUCGCUUUACAAGAGCUAAUAAAAUCACCGUACACUGUCUUGUACUAACCGUACAAUUUUAGUAGUAUUUAAAGCUCCCAAUACCUUGAUACUGGCGAAAUAGUCCCACUGGACUGAAGCCAUAAUUAAAAAAAAAGUGAAG